AGCAGCCGCGGUAAUUCCAGCUCCAAUAGCGUAUAUUAAAGUUGUUGCAGUUAAAAAGCUCGUAGUUGAACCUCGGGAUCAAUUGAUUGGUCAUGCCAUUGGUAUGUACUGGUCAUAUUGGUUCUCACCUUCUAAGGAACCUUAAUGUCAUUAAUUUGAUGUUUGGGGAAUUAGGACUGUUACCUUGAAAAAUUAGAGUGUUUAAAGCAGGCUAACGCUUGAAUACAUUAGCAUGGAAUAAUGAAAUAGGACAUCGCAUUCUAUUUUGUUGGUUUCUAGGAUCGAUGUAAUGAUUAAUAGGGAUAGUUGGGGGCAUUAGUAUUCAAUUGUCAGAGGUGAAGUUCUUGGAUUUAUUGAAGACUAACUACUGCGAAAGCAUUUGCCAAGGAUGUUUUCAUUAAUCAAGAACGAAAGUUAGGGGAUCGAAGACGAUCAGAUACCGUCGUAGUCUUAACCAUAAACUAUGCCGACUAGGGAUCAGAUGAUGUUGAUUUUUAAUG
rnacentral:rRNA from 1 species